CAUGCGGCUGCUUACCAUGCAAGUCGAGCGAGGCGGAUGGGCUUGCCCAUCCAGUCGAGCGGCGAACGGGUGAGUAACGCGUGGAUAUCUACCCUGAGGUGGGGGAUAACCCGGGGAAACUCGGGCUAAUACCGCAUGAUACCGAGAGGUCAAAGGGGGCAGCAAUGCUCUCGCCAUGGGAUGAGUCUGCGUCCGAUUAGCUAGUUGGUGAGGUAACGGCUCACCAAGGCGACGAUCGGUAGCCGGCCUGAGAGGGUGAUCGGCCACACUGGAACUGAGACACGGUCCAGACUCCUACGGGAGGCAGCAGUGGGGAAUUUUGCGCAAUGGGGGAAACCCUGACGCAGCAACGCCGCGUGGAGGAUGAAGGUUUUCGGAUUGUAAACUCCUGUCAGUGGGGAAAAAGGUUCGCGACCUAAUACGUCGAGGAGCUUGAUUGUACCCGCAGAGGAAGCCCCGGCUAACUCUGUGCCAGCAGCCGCGGUAAUACAGAGGGGGCAAGCGUUAUUCGGAAUUAUUGGGCGUAAAGGGCGCGCAGGCGGCCGCACAAGUGGAAGGUGAAAUCCCCCGGCUCAACCGGGGAACUGCCUUCCAAACUGAGUGGCUUGAGUCCGGGAGAGGUGAGUGGAAUUCCCAGUGUAGCGGUGAAAUGCGUAGAUAUUGGGAGGAACACCGGUGGCGAAGGCGGCUCACUGGACCGGAACUGACGCUGAGGCGCGAAAGCGUGGGGAGCAAACGGGAUUAGAUACCCCGGUAGUCCACGCCGUAAACGAUGAGUGCUUUGGUGUAGCGGGUAUCGACCCCUGCUGUGCCGAAGCUA
rnacentral:rRNA from 2 species